GUGCUCACGUGGACAGCACAGACACUAACAGGGGAACUGUACAGAGAAGAUAAGUAUGGCCCCUGUGCAAGGAUUACACGCAAAUUUGUUAAGAGCUGUAUCUUUUC